GCCGAGGUAGCUCAGUCGGUAGAGCAGUGGACUGAAAAUCCACGUGUCGGGAGUUCAAUUCUCUCCCUCGGCACCA
rnacentral:tRNA from 2 species